GGCAAGUCGCAAAUGAAACCUUUUGAGGAUUUCAAUAGAAAUGAGAUGCAAAACGAGAUGAGAUUUGCACGUACAAGAUUUGCGAUGCAGACCAACAAUAUGAAGAUAAGCCUCUCAGACGCUGUUGUUGUGGUCAACAUGUUUUGCAUCCCUUUGUGGUUGGUGAAUAUAUGGAGCGAAUAUUGUGGAAGGAAACCAAAAUUUAAAUUACCAACUAAAAGUGAUCAGUUCCACUUUUAACUAGAAGUUACACGCAAGAGAACCAUAAAUUUAAAA